rnacentral:tmRNA from 1 species
UCAUUGAAAACACGCCGCAAAACCCUAUAUAAUGUAAGUGUCAGCUUAGCUGACUAUGAUACUAAACUGUACGCGGAAUAGGCGUUUAGGACCCGGGGGCAGUACCCGGCGGCUCCACCAUUUAAGACUUCCCGCAUAACCGUUUUCGCGCGGGGCGUCUUAGAACAUGGGGCCGAAACAGGAUCGACUUGCGUAAUAAAGGCGCUACUUGUAUCCGGCAUUGUACCGCCGUUAUCGGGCUAUUGUUAUAAAUGCAAAUGAUAAUUUCGCAUUUGGUGUAGCAGCUAACGACAAUGGCGCAAUCGCUAUUGCCGCUUAAGCGUACACAACGUAAUCCCUAGCAUCUAAUGCUUGCUAGGUGGGGCGUGGGCCGGCCUCGCAACAGAACUGGCCCAUU